GCCGACUUAGCUUAGCUGGUAGAGCAGCCGAUUCGUAAUCGGCAGGUCAUCGGUUCGAUUCCGAUAGUCGGCU
rnacentral:tRNA from 1 species